rnacentral:rRNA from 1 species
CCCUUAGAUGUUCUGGGCCGCACGCGCGCUACACUGAUGAAUUCAACGAGCACUAACCUGUGCCGAAAGGUUCGGGUAAUCUUGUGAAAUUUCAUCGUGAUGGGGAUUGAUUAUUGCAAUUUUUAAUCAUAAACGAGGAAUGCCUAGUAAGCGUGAGCCAUCAGCUCACGUUGAUUACGUCCCUGCUCUUUGUACACACCGCCCGUCGCUCCUACCGAUUGAAUGUGCCAGUGAAAAGUUAGGAUUGGGCGUGGGAGACGGCAACGUAUUCCACAUCCGAGAAAAUCUUUAAACUUUCCCAUUUAGAGGAAGGAGAAGUCGUAACA